rnacentral:rRNA from 1 species
UACGUAGGGUGCGAGCGUUGUCCGGAAUUAUUGGGCGUAAAGCGCACGUAGGCGGUUUGUUAAGUCGGAUGUGAAAUCCCUCGGCUCAACUGAGGAAGUGCACCCGAAACUGGCAGGCUUGAGUACUAAAGAGGGUCGCGGAAUUCCCGGUGUAGAGGUGAAAUUCGUAGAUAUCGGGAGGAACACCGGUGGCGAAGGCGGCGACCUGGGUAGAUACUGACGCUGAGGUGCGAAAGCGUGGGGAGCAAACAGG